rnacentral:tRNA from 1 species
AAAUAUUCUAGUAGCUUAAUUAGCAAAGC